rnacentral:rRNA from 1 species
UUCCAGACUCCUACGGGAGGCAGCAGUGGGGGAUAUUGCACAAUGGGGGGAACCCUGAUGCAGCGACGCCGCGUGGGCGAGGGAGCGCCUCGGCGCGUAAAGCCCUUUCGGCGGGGGAGAACGAUGACGGUACCCGACGAAGAAGCACCGGCUAAAUACGUGCCAGCAGCCGCGGGAAUACGUAUGGUGCAAGCGUUAUCCGGAUUUACUGGGUGUAAAGGGAGCGCAGGCGGCACGGCAAGCCUGAUGUGAAAGCCCGCGGCCCAACCGCGGGACUGCAUUGGGAACUACCGGGCUGGAGUGCCGGAGAGGUAGGCGGAAUUCCUAGUGUAGCGGUGAAAUGCGUAGAUAUUAGGAGGAACACCAGUGGCGAAGGCGGCCUACUGGACGGUGACUGACGCUGAGGCUCGAAAGCGUGGGGAGCAAACAGGAUUAGAUACCCGUGUAGCA